rnacentral:rRNA from 1 species
GACGAACGCUGGCGGCGUGCUUAACACAUGCAAGUCGAACGGUGAAGGUGGAGCUUGCGCCGCCGGAUCAGUGGCGAACGGGUGAGUAACACGUGGGCAACCUGCGCCUCACUUCGGGAUAACUCCGUGAAACCGGGGCGAAUACCGGAUACGACCUCCUUGGGCAGCCGUGUAGCUGGACAGUUGUUCGGUGAGGGAUGGGCCCGCGGGCUAUGAGUUUGUUGGUGAGGUAGUGGCUCACCAAGGCGGCGAGGGGGAGCCGGCCUGAGGGGGCGACCGGCCACACUGGGACUGAGACACGGCCCAGACUCCUACGGGAGGCAGCAGUGGGGAAUAUUGCGCAAUGGGCGAAAGCCUGACGCAGCAACGCCGCGUGCGGGAUGAAGGCCUUCGGGUUGUAAACCGCUUUCAGAAGGGAAGAAGCCGCAAGGUGACGGUACCUGCAGAAGAAGCACCGGCUAACUACGUGCCAGCCGCCGCGGUAA